rnacentral:lncRNA from 1 species
UCAGAUUUAAACAAGAGGAGAAAUAUCACACAAACAUAGGAGCAUCCGACUUGAUAAGCUAGUAGAGUACUUACAUCAAGAGCUAUCGUCCAACUAAACAAAAUCAACCUUAUCUUUUAUAAUAAUAAUAAUAAUAAUAAUAAUAAUAAUAAUCAUAAACCUGAUCAUUUAUUUCAACCGUGGGCAUAUUUGAGCCUGUAAUGGAUUUUUCAUCACUACUGUGAAUUCUUCCUUCUCAGACAAAUCAACAUCAUCUCCAUCCACAGCUUUCC